GAUGAACGCUGGCGGCGUGCCUAAUACAUGCAAGUAGAACGCUGAAGGAGGAGCUUGCUCUUCUGGAUGAGUUGCGAACGGAUGAGUAACGAGUAGGUAACCUGCCUGGUAGCGGGGGAUAACUAUUGGAAACGAUAGCUAAUACCGCAUGACAACAGUUAUUGCAUGAUAACUGUUUAAAAGGGGCAACUGCUCCACUACCAGAUGGACCUGCGUUGUAUUAGCUAGUUGGUGAGGUAACGGCUCACCAAGGCGACGAUACAUAGCCGACCUGAGAGGGUGGACGGCCACACUGGGACUGGGACACGGCCCAGACUCCUGCGGGAGGCAGCAGUAGGGAGUCUGCGGCAAUGGACGGAAGUCUGACCGAGCAACGACGCGUGAGUGAAGAAGGUUUUCGGAUCGUAAAGCUCAGUUGUAAGAGAAGAACGAGUGUGAGAGUGGAAAGUUCACACUGUGACGGUAUCUUACCAGAGAGGGACGGCUAACUACGUG
rnacentral:rRNA from 1 species